AGCGAACGUUAGCGGCAGGCUUAACACAUGCAAGUCGAGCGAGAAAGGGGCUUCGGCUCCGAGUAAAAGCGGCGGACGGGUGCGUAACACGUGGAUAAUCUGCCUCGUGGCGGGGGACAACAGUCCGAAAGGACUGCUAAUACCGCAUGUCAGGUCGGAAACUCCGGUUUCUGACGAAAAAGAGGGCGUCCGCAAGGAGCUCUCACCACGAGAUGAGUCCGCGUCCCAUCAGCUAGUUGGCGGUGUAAUGGACCACCAAGGCUUAGACGGGUAGCUGGUCUGAGAGGAUGACCAGCCACACUGGGACUGAGACACGGCCCAGACUCCUACGGGAGGCAGCAGUGGGGAAUAUUGGACAAUGGGCGAAAGCCUGAUCCAGCCAUGCCGCGUGAGUGAUGAAGGCCU
rnacentral:rRNA from 1 species